ACCCCAUUCACAACAAGGACUCCAAGGUAGAAGAGACACUCAAAUCAUCUAAUGUGCCUGAGGAGUACCAUGAUUUAAAAGAGGUGUUUAGUAAGCCGAAACCCCUGUCUUUACCUCCACACCGACCAUAUGACUGUGCAAUUAACUUGUUUCCUGGAGCCAGUCUCCCCUCCAGCAGACUUCAUAAUAUUUCCAACCCAGAAAGAGAAUGCAUGGAGAAAUAUAUUACUGAGUCUCUGGCUACUGGAAUUAUCCAUUCAUCCACCUCCCCACUAGGGCCAGGAUUUUUCCUCGUCUCCAAGAAGGUUUUGGAUCACAACCCUGGAUUCACUCCUGUCACCAUUGGACAGAAACCCAGGACCUAAUCUUCCUGCUGCCCCUGCAAGCUCCGUUCCACUUCUCCAGCCUGCUCGCUCUCCACCAUCUCUGGGAAUGCUCCUUCUGUCCCCCCAGACCGCCGGACCACGGAUUGUGCCUCAGACCGCCGGACCACGGAUCGUGCCUCAGACCGCCGGACCACGGAUUGUGCCUCAGACCGCCGGACCAUGGAUUGUGCCUCAGACCGCCGGACCACGGAUUGUGCCUAGACCCCCUCCUUCUGAGAUCUUGCUACCAGGAGACUGCAAGACUGAGAACCAGAUUUCAACUACCUGAGACUGACCUCCUUUGAGAUUAUUAAACUUCUUGAACUUA